GGGUUACUCAGAUAGGAGUUGGAGAAGUGGAGUCAGAGAGGAGCCCUAUGGAGGCUCCAGGGCCUGUGAUCAGGCUAGGCUGAGGCCAGAGGAAAUGCCAUCCCACCUGCAAGCCUGCUCAACCUCUUCAGACCCAGGAUGGGAGCAUCAAGGAAGAACUACAGCUGCCAGCACCACCCCAGCCCCAACUUCAGUCAUGGCCACUCCUCAGGUCACUGAAGGGACCCCGGUUAUGCGGGGACCCCACUCCCUCCCUCCAGAUCUGAUCAGGAUUCCAACAUUAAGAGGAGCCAGCAGAGAGCUGUCUUUGUACCCUGGCUCUGAGGAAGUUUUGUGGGAUAGACCGCGUGUGGCCUGAAAGAGCUCGCAUUUCAGGGAACGCCUGGGCUCGAUGCCUGUUAUCUUGUUCAGUGCCUCUGAUUAUAAAUUAAUAAACUGGAAUCUCACCAACAAUUGGUCUCAUGUGAGUUUGGCAUGUGUGCACCCACUUCUCGGAGGCUGACUGUCUCAAGGAAAAAAAAUUAAACCGUUUCCUGGCCAG
rnacentral:lncRNA from 1 species